GACGAACGCUGGCGGCGUGCUUAACACAUGCAAGUCGAACGCUGAAGACCUGGCUUUUGUUGGGUUGGAUGAGUGGCGAACGGGUGAGUAACACGUGAGUAACCUGCCCUCUUCUUUGGGAUAACGCCCGGAAACGGGUGCUAAUACUGGAUAUUCACUGAUCUUCGCAUGGGGGUUGGUGGAAAGGUUUGUUCUGGUGGGGGAUGGGCUCGCGGCCUAUCAGCUUGUUGGUGGGGUGAUGGCCUACCAAGGCUUGGACGGGUAGCCGGCCUGAGAGGGUGACCGGUCACAUUGGGACUGAGAUACGGCCCAGACUCCUACGGGAGGCAGCAGUGGGGAAUAUUGCACAAUGGGCGAAAGCCUGAUGCAGCGACGCCGCGUGAGGGAUGGAGGCCUUCGGGUUGUAAACCUCUUUCGCUCAUGGUCAAGCCGCAACUGUGGGUUGUGGUGAGGGUAGUGGGUAAAGAAGCGCCGGCUAACUACGUG
rnacentral:rRNA from 1 species